rnacentral:rRNA from 1 species
UGGCGACCAUAGCGUUGUGGACCCACCUGAUUCCAUGCCGAACUCAGAAGUGAAACGCAAUAGCGUCGAUGGUAGUGUGGGGCUUCCCCAUGUGAGAGUAGAACAUCGCCAGGCU